rnacentral:rRNA from 1 species
UACGUAGGGUGCAAGCGUUGUCCGGAUUUAUUGGGCGUAAAGAGCUCGUAGGCGGUUUGUCGCGUCGGAUGUGAAAACCCAGGGCUCAACCCUGGGCCUGCAUUCGAUACGGGCAGACUAGAGUAUGGCAGGGGAGACUGGAAUUCCUGGUGUGGCGGUGGAAUGCGCAGAUAUCAGGAGGAACACCGGUGGCGAAGGCGGGUCUCUGGGCAGUAACUGACGCUGAGGAGCGAAAGCGUGGGGAGCGAACAGG